CAGGUGGGCAGGAUGAGAAUUCUAAGGCGCUUGAGAGAACUCGGGUGAAGGAACUAGGCAAAAUGAUACCGUAACUUCGGGAGAAGGUAUGCCCCAAGUAUGUGAUAGUCCUGCGACUGGAGCAGAAAAGGGUUGCAAUAAAAUGGUGGCUGCGACUGUUUAGCAAAAACAUAGCACUCUGCAAACACGAAAGUGGACGUAUAGGGUGUGACGCCUGCCCGGUGCUGGAAGGUUAAUUGAUGGGGUUAUCUUCGGAGAAGCUCUUGAUCGAAGCCCCAGUAAACGGCGGCCGUAACUAUAACGGUCCUAAGGUAGCGAAAUUCCUUGUCGGGUAAGUUCCGACCUGCACGAAUGGCGUAACGAUGGCCACACUGUCUCCACCCGAGACUCAGUGAAAUUGAAAUUGCGGUGAAGAUGCCGUAUACCCGUGGCUAGACGGAAAGACCCCGUGAACCUUUACUAUAGCUUGACACUGGACUUUGAACCUACUUGUGUAGGAUAGGUGGGAGGCUUUGAAGCGGGAACGCCAGUUCUCGUGGAGCCAACCUUGAAAUACCACCCUGGUAUGUUUGGAGUUCUAACCUGGAUCCAUUAUCUGGAUUGGGGACAGUGUCUGGUGGGUAGUUUGACUGGGGCGGUCUCCUCCUAAAGAGUAACGGAGGAGCACGAAGGUACCCUCAGCCUGGUCGGAAAUCAGGCAAUGAGUGCAAAGGCAUAAGGGUGCUUGACUGCGAGACGGACAAGUCGAGCAGGUACGAAAGUAGGUCUUAGUGAUCCGGUGGUUCUGUAUGGAAGGGCCAUCGCUCAACGGAUAAAAGGUACGCCGGGGAUAACAGGCUGAUACCGCCCAAGAGUUCAUAUCGACGGCGGUGUUUGGCACCUCGAUGUCGGCUCAUCACAUCCUGGGGCUGAAGCAGGUCCCAAGGGUAUGGCUGUUCGCCAUUUAAAGUGGUACGCGAGCUGGGUUCAGAACGUCGUGAGACAGUUCGGUCCCUAUCUGCCGUGGGCGUUUGAGAUUUGAGGGAAGCUGCUCCUAGUACGAGAGGACCGGAGUGGACGAACCUCUGGUGUUCCGGUUGUCAUGCCAAUGGCAUUGCCGGGUAGCCACGUUCGGACAGGAUAACCGCUGAAAGCAUCUAAGCGGGAAGCCCCUCCCAAGAUGAGAUCUCACUGGGACUUUAAGUCCCCUGAAGGGCCGUCGGAGACUACGACGUUGAUAGGGUCGGUGUGGAAGCGCAGUAAUGCGUGAAGCUAACGACUACUAAUUGCCCGUGAGGCUUGACCAU
rnacentral:rRNA from 1 species